UGGCAUAUGGAGCUCUUGGGCCAGGGAUCGGAUCCAAGCCUCCCUUGUGACCUAUGCUGCAGCUGGAGCAACACCAGAUCCUUUAACACACUGUGCUGGAUGGGGAUUGAACCUGUGUCCUGGUGCUGCGGAGACUGCCGAUCCUGUUGUACCACAGUGGGAACUCCUAUUUGUCUUUAUUUUUAAUAUUUUCAUUUUAUGUUCUAGGAAGCAAGGCAAAGGUGUCUGAAGUUAAAUGACAUUUUUUGGCCACACCGGCUGCAUGCAGAAAUUCCUGGGACAUGAAUCUAACCCAUACCACAGUAGUGACUGGAGGCCACAGAAGUGACAACGCCAGAUCGUUAACCCCUUGGCCACCAGGGACUUCUAAACUCAUGUUUUCUAAAAAGAUUUGUGAUAGUUAUUUAAUAGGAAUAAUUGUUACUUUAUUUUUAUAGGAUUAUAAUGAUCUUUCAUUUGCUUCGUCAACACAAACCUGUUUCCUUAGUCUUUGAGACCAUGACUCAAACUUCACCAUUGGCUUAGUGGAAGAAUGACUUAGUUUCUGGCAUGGUGUAUUGUGAGUAAACAAUCUUGCAGUGCCAGCUUUGCAAGCCCACACCUAUAAAAUGACUGCACCUGUCACACCAUGACAUGAGGUCUUGACACCAUAAGUUAAAGCAAACCAUCAUCAUCUUCUAAAAAGGGAUGAUCCAUUUGAAUAACUAGUGAUGUGAACAAGCUCUUUAGCUAGAGGGCAGAAACUGAUUACGAGAAGGAUUUGGGAAGGCAUUUCCUCCUCUUUCAAACAUAGCAUCACAGAACUAGAUGUUUCUGAGGAGGCUCCCUUCAAAUAAGAGCCACUGCCCAGGGGCAAACGCAAUAUUUGAUGCAAUGAUUCAGUCAUUUAAAAUAGGAUCCAAGUUCCAUUGUGUCACAUUCACACCUGUGCUCUAUUUUAAAAAGAUCCUCAGAGUCUGUGAGUCUGGCUUAACUGUACCAACUCAGGCAGGCCAAAGGCCAAGUAUUUAAGCAGGCAUUCUCUGAAAAUCAGAAUUGAUGGCUGUUAUAGAACUUUAUAGGUUGAUGGAAUUUUUCUGUAUUUUGAUUGUGGUGAUGGUUACAUUGUUGUAUAUAGUUCUUCAAAUUUACUGAACCAUGCAUGUAAAAUGAGUAUGUUUCAUUGUAUGGAAAUCAGACCUCAAUAAAGUUAAUUUAAAAAAAUGACAGCUGUCUGUGUUGAACAUGAACACAUGCCCCUCUGGCAAAAGCAAGAGUAGCCAUGAAGUCAGCUCUGGGUGCACACAAAUAAAGAUUAAAUACAGCAUUUAAGUCUUGUGCAGUCAUGAGCAGAAGGGCUUUCUGGUGAGAAACUGGGAAUGGUAAUUAAAGAUCUAUUGGAACUUCAUCUUAUACUCAAAGACAAAAAUAGUCACUCAACAAGAGCCUUGGAAUUUGCUUUUUCCUUUAUCAAACCAAUCAGAGUGUGUCCGUAUGUUCAAUGGAUUUCCAAAUAUAUAUGCACAUAUAUGCAUAUUGGGGAAGAGAACAUCUUAUUGCUGUUUCACGAAAAUAAAAUAGAGCACAUUUCUCUGGGAUAAUUGAAAAUAUACCUAAGAAGUAUCAUUAUGAAGGCUAAUUUCCUAAAUGUGUGAUAUUGUACAGACUAAGUAGAGGUAACACAUAGUUCUAGAAACCCCUUUGAUUGUGUGACACUGACAAAGUCUUAUCUCUCUGGAGCCAUUUCUAAUUUUGCUUCUGUAAAAUGAAGUGGCUAGACCAGACAGUGCCCUAUGAUGCAGAAAAACAGAAACCAUACUUAUGGAUUAGAAGCUCUAUUUCCAUUAACUAGAUAUUUUCUCUUUUUAUUAUUACUUAAUACUUUCUUUCCUUUGGUAAUACUAGAUUUGGAAAAAGGACAGGUGCUAAUGAGACAGUGAGAAAAAAAAUUUACUUAUCCUAUUGAGUCACAGAUCAGACACUCUAAAUACACUAAUUCUUUUCAGUAGACCAGAUUUGAUAAAAAGAAUGUUCUAGAAGAUGGGGUUGUCAGGAAGAUGUUAGGAAGAAUAGUGUUGAGGAGGGAAAAAUAAAAAGAAAUGAAGUUAUGAUUCAUCUCAUUAAUAUUCUAACAAAAGAUCUAUACUAGAUUAAGAUAUCUCUCAUUGGAAGAAGCUGAACACAUCUUUGACUUUUGUGGCAAUAACUGUAUGUUUCAGAAAUUAUGACAUUAGAGAAUCUUGAAUUUACAAAGGAACUUUAUCAUCAAAACCAGUUACCCCACUCAGAGUCUGAGCGUUAUCUCAGUACUUUAACAUAAGAAGACAAAAAACUAAACCUGUCUUGAUUAUUUUAUGUUUGUAAAGGCAAAGUCACAAAAAUAGCUUUACAUGGCUGUUGCUUUGCAUGUUGAAGUCAAGCUGUGAUUAAUAUUUUAGAGACAAAUGUUCACAGAGAGCAAGGCUUGCUCUCAUCACAUAAAGACUAAAUUUUAUCCAAGGUUGCAUUUAUUCACAUACUUUAACUUGUCAGCAUCAGGCAAUCUUUCUCAAUUUCAAACCAGGGCACACCUCUCAACCUAAGAAGAGCUGAUAAAAUAAUGGAUUUGCCCAGGGAAUCUAAACCCCUCGGAGGCUGUAGGAUAAAAGGUAAAGUAAGGAAAACAAAUGACAGGACUCCAAAGCAUCAGAAAAAUAUUCCAAAAGUUGAACAUGUUGUGCAAAGAUGGAGUUCCCAUUGUGGCGCAGUGGUUAACGAAUCUGGCUAGGAACCAUGAGGUUGCAGGUUCAAUCCCUGGCCUUGCGCAGUGGGUUAAGGAUCUGACAUUGCUGUGAGCUGUGGUGUAGGUUGCAGACGCGGCUCGGAUCCCGCGUUGCUGUGGCUCUGGUGUAGGCCAGCAGCUACAGCUCUGAUUCGACCCCUAGCCUGGGAACCUCUGUAUGCUGGGUUGGCUUCUGAAUGCUUUUAUUGUUCUCAUAUCCUGGGGCCUUGUGUGUCUGCCACACUAUCUUGUCCCCCAGCUACCACCAGUCUGAACAUCUGUGAGAACUUAUUGUGUGGUCAAGAGGACACACCCCAUGUUCCUGCAUUUACAGAUUCCAGUCUUUGACCUCUGCAUACUUCAAAGUCCAAUGGCAGUAAAAUGGAGCAGGACUUAUGGGACCUUCCCAGAACAGACUCCUCUAACAAUGCCCUCUAUCUGCCUUUUGUCUGUAGAAAAUCUUUAUUCAAAGAAUAAAUUUUAUCAGAGGUGUGGGAAAAUGCAAAAGCAAAGAAAAGCAGUUGAACAGGAUGAUACA
rnacentral:lncRNA from 1 species